UACGUAGGGUGCGAGCGUUGUCUGGAAUUAUUGGGCGUAAAGAGCUCGUAGGCGGCUUGUCGCGUCGGAUGUGAAAGCCCGGGGCUUAACUCCGGGUCUGCAUUCGAUACGGGCAGGCUAGAGUGUGGUAGGGGAGAUCGGAAUUCCUGGUGUAGCGGUGAAAUGCGCAGAUAUCAGGAGGAACACCGGUGGCGAAGGCGGAUCUCUGGGCCAUUACUGACGCUGAGGAGCGAAAGCGUGGGGAGCGAACAGG
rnacentral:rRNA from 1 species